UGUUUGGAGUGUCUUAUUGGUUAGUCCUGCUCCAAAACGAACAAAUUUCCAAAUUUGCCCUCUCAACCUCACUUUCACUCCUAAACCCAACUUCACCUCCAUUUUCUAUUCCAACCCUGACCCCAACCACCACCACCACCACCACCACCAACGCCGUCGCCGCCACCACCUCCGCCUCACCUCUGCAACCCCGCCCUCUCCCUGUAACCCCGACCCACUCGGUCUGCCACCCCGCCCAGCCCCAUACUUUCCUCGUUUUAAUGGGUGACCGCAGAAAAGGAAAAGGAGAAAGAAGAGUACUAAACCUAAACCUAAACCUAAACCAAAACCAGUACUUAGGAGGUGGGUGGUAUGUCGACUGUUGGAAAUUCUGAUCGCCGUACCGAUCUUCCGUCGUAUUGGAAUUUAAGCCGACCAUGGAAGAAAGAAAAGCAGACAAAGGUCGAGCUCCACUCCCUCAACCUGGAGUUCUUCGUCCACAUCACAGAGCCCAAAUUGAUAUCGUGAAUGCCGUAGGUUCGCCGCUUACGGUGGUCAAUCUUUUGCAAUUUUUUGAGGAUGGUUUCGUAUGAUCUGGCAACCCACGGAAGAGAUGUUCUUCUUCAUGGAGCAAGCUAACCAGCUUCUUAAUGGUUAUACGCUACAUCAACCUCAGCCAUCUUCUUCUCUCUAAAAAGAUGGUCACGAAUGAUCGUCUCCUCCGAAUUUAGUCCUUCCUGCUUCGACGGCUUCUUCUCUAUCUCAGGGCUUCUUCGAUAAGCUCGUUGACUCUGAGUUGCUGUUUUUUCUUCUCUCUUUUCUUUUCUGCAGGUUCCCCAUCAAAACGGGAAGAGAUGGAGCUGGGCGGGGGCAGGCCCUGCAGGGAGCAUGGUGCCGUGGCAGACAAGGUGGUUCGGGGUUGCAAAGAGGAGAAGCGGCCGGGUGUCGACAGCGGUGGUGGUUUUAAAACUCGGAAUCGGUCUCUACAGAGCAGGAUCGGAUUUAAUCGGACAGAUUUACCCCUAAUUUUUUUAGAUAGUUUUUUAAGUAGUGGAUCAGAUCCGUUGAUUGGUCUUGGCUUUUACCGAUGCGAUCCGAUUCACUUUUUAAAACCUUGGUUGGAGGUGGAGGUGGAGGUGGAGGAGGUGGAGGUGGGGGGUAGAGAGGGAUAAAUUUGGAAAUAUAUUCAUUUUGGAGUAGGACUAACCCUAUAAAGCAUCCGGAACAUCACUUUUCAAA